GGAAGAGAUCACCCAUUCAAUAAUGUUCUUUUCCAGGCACUCCUGAUACCCACUGGAGGUAAUGCUGGUUUUGGGAGCACAAUGUAUUGUGAAUAAAAUAUACGAAGAAAAAAGUCAGCACACUAAAUGCCCAGAAGGAUGAUGUGUGGGUGAAGAAGCAGAGCAACAUAACAUGGGAGGGGAACCCCUUCUUGGCAGAUUUUAAAGAAUAAAGUAAAUGGAAGGCCUUGUUUCCUCAAUUAGACAGUAACUGUGGAAGCUGACAGACAUAAUCCAAAGAAGAAAAUGAUUGGCAUAAUAUUCUUAGAUUGUGUUGUGGGUGGCAGGCAAUCACUGCUCAACUUGGCUCUUCUGUCUGGGGUGGGUGGAAGCAGGAUAAAAUCAUGGGAGGUCACAUUGAGUUGAAAGUCUUGACCUUUCUUGGAUGGGUAAAGGAGCCAUCAUGUUUUUCAUGCUGAAAAUAAAUUAGUCCCUCAAGUCAAAUGUUACCAGAGCGUAUGCAACAAACUUCUUCGAAAGAGAGGCAAUCUAGAAAUAAUUGAGACAAGGGCAGAAGCCAAAGGACAAUGAAAAAAUUUCAGAAACAGGUUGUUUGAAACUGAAGAUGCUAUACUUGAGGCUUUUUGUGGCAUCGGCUUCUGAAUUCAACUCUGCAGUGAAUGUGUUGCAUUGGUUUCAAGUGUGGUGGUGAUGAAUUACUGAAGAAAUUUCAAUCAGAG
rnacentral:lncRNA from 1 species